CUCCGAUCGACGAUUGCGUUUCUACAAAAGUUAUACUAAAGAAAACUGUUAUGAUGAAUGUUUGGCGAAUUUUAUGAAGAAUUCGUGUGGAUGCGUUCCAUUUUGGAUGCCAAGGGAUAAUCAAACGAAAAUUUGUGGCUCUGCAAAAUAUGAAUGCUGCAAAGAUACUUACUUCGAAGCACAUUCUAAUAAUGGAUGGUACUUUCAUGUAGUAUGCAAAUGCAUAAAUCCCUGUAUACACAUCGUAUACGAUUUAAAAGUUGAACAAAAUCAUUUAUAUACUGAAGAAACCAGACGCUCUCAAACAAACAGCACAAACCAACACCUCACACAGUUGUCUAUAUUUUUCGAAGAAUCAUCAGUUAAGGUAGUGGAACGAAUGGAAACAUAUACGAUCACCGAUUUU